rnacentral:SRP_RNA from 1 species
CAUUGGCUCCUUCGCGACGGUCCGCCGUGAAUUCCGCCAGGCCCGGAAGGGAGCAACGGUAACGGAUGGGCCGGGUGCCGAAGUCCCGGCUGAUGCGG